UCUCUCUGAUUUAAAACAACAUUUUGAAGAUUUUUGUCAGGAGGAGAUCAGUAAUAUCAUCUCUGUUGUGGCAAGAAUUCAGAUUUUACCAUUAACCAGAAUCAGGAAUCACUUUAAACAAUAUUUUUGUAGCUUUACCCUUGAUCCCAACACAGUGGUUGAAGACCUCGUCCUCUCUGAGAACAACAGACAGAUGACAUAUACUGGGCAUUUAGGGAUUUAUAAGUUCCCCUGCAAGGUGUUUUGCAAGGAGAGUGUGUUUGGACGCUGCUAUUGGGAGGUGGAGUGGAGCGGGAGAUGUGUGCAUAUAUCAGUCUCGUAUAAAGAAAUGAGUGGCAGAGGAAAGGGAUUAGUUGGCACGUUCGGAAACAACAACACAUCUUGGAGUCUGCAGUGUUUUCCCAAGCCUGUUUUCUGGCAUAAGAGCAGUAAAACAGAGAUCUCAAGACCUCUGUCCUCUAGGGUAGGUGUGUUUGUGGACUACAGUGCAGGGACUCUGUCUUUCUACAGUGUCUCUGAUACAGUGACCCUCUUACACCGCGUCCAGACCACAUUCACUCAACCCCUUUAUCCUGGAUUUUGGUUCAGCGCAUUAGGUUCUGGAGAUCUGCUUAAUCUAGACAACUCUGGGUCAAACACCAGUGUGUUCUCCUCAGUGAAACUAUGUGAUCCAUAAACCAGUUUUGUGUUCCCCUUAUUUAAAUGCAGCAUUGCGUAUAUAUAAAUAUUAACAAUCACAAUGUUAUCACAUAUUUAAUUUUUUUUACAAGUAGUAUGACAGGAAUUAUUAUAUUUUAAAAAUUAAAAUGUGUUUGUGUUUGUAAAACAAAACAUAGCCUGGUUUAACUGAUUUUUUCCCCUCCUUUCUGUUGACCUAUGGAAGAUUUUACGAAAAUCUCAGCUGAGCAAUAAAACAAGA